rnacentral:lncRNA from 1 species
GUAAAAUCUUUCUGACAUUAAAGUGUAAAUUACAGUAUUACAACAGGUACAUCACUAAUUUACAUUCCAAAAACAGCAUAUGCAAGACUUACAAUUGUAGAUAUUAUAACAAAUAUUUGAUGCUCUUUUUUAGAAACUAACACUUAAAAUCUACUUGAAGUUCCAUUUGCUGCACCUCAUUUGCACUGUCCUUUGUACUGACAAAAUGCUUCUACCUCUUCUUGUAUGUUUAUUUAAUUUAUUUAAAGAAUACUCUUGCUAAUCCUGACGGCAUAGGUUGGAGUCAAAGAACUAUCUUUUACAUAGAAAUAUUCCUUGCAACUAAUGUGCUUGCACUGACUUUGUGAUUAUAUUUUUAUUUUAACCAUUAGAGGGCACAUUAGUUCAGGAGAAAUUAAACAAAAAGGACAGCAAUAAGAUGGAAAUAGCCUUAGAAAUGUUGGGCAGGAGAAAUUUAUGUAUGUAACCAUGCCUGUUUUCACUCAUUUCGUUGCCAUUUGCCAUAUAAUUUAUCAGAGAUUUUUUUUUAAUCUGAAAAAGAACCUCAAGCAUAUAUAGUUUCAUGUAAGAAAUCACGUCACUUUUUAUCACGGGCUACUACUCCUAGGAGAGUGAGGUAGGCCUAGUGGAAUUUGACAACGCUGACUGUUUAGUGACCAAGGAGGACAUAACAAAUCAUGGCAUCUGAAGAACAUCCUGUGCUCAAAGAUUUUGUCUCAUUUCAAACAAGGGGCUGUGCAUUGCCAAGGACAGCUAUCUGGCAAAUCUUUAUCUUAACCCCUGAGAAAUGAAGGAGAGCAACAGAAGAGCCAGCUUUGGAUCUGCUGGCUGACUGAUGUUUAGGGGAGUGCAGCAAUUUUCACAGGGGAGAUGAUACUUGGCCUAGGUGUUAUUUUUCUUUUUGAAUUUUUAUUGGAAAUGUAGAAGGAGGAAGAAGGUGGAGGGGGGAGUGAGAGGGAGAACACUCCCAUCCACUGGUUCAUUCCCCAAAUGCCUGUCACAGCCUGUACUGGGCUAGGCUGAAGCAAGCAGCCCAGAAUUCAAUCUGGGUCUUCCAUAUUGGUGGCAGGGAUCCAACUACUGAGCCACCACCCUGCUGCCUCUCAUUGUCUGCUUUAUCAGGAAGCUGGAAUCAGAAGCAGAACCAGGAUUGAAACCUGGACACUCUAAUAUGGGGUAUAGGAUUCUAAGUAGCCUGUUAACUGUGGCACUAAAUGCCUAACCCAGGUGGUCAUAAAAUAAAAGUGGAAAUUCUGCAAUGGACA